rnacentral:rRNA from 1 species
GAUAAACGCUGGCGGCGUGCCUAACACAUGCAAGUCGAACGCCCUACGCAAGUAGGGAGUGGCGGACGGGUGAGGAACACGUGGGUUAUCUGCCUUGAGGUGAGGAAUACCGGCGAGAAAUCGCCGACAAUACCGCAUACGUUCGUAAGAACAAAGUCGCAAGACGCCCCAAGAUGAGCCUGCGUCCGAUUAGCUAGUUGGUGGGGUAAAAGCCUACCAAGGCAGCGAUCGGUAGCUGGUCUGAGAGGACGAUCAGCCACACUGGGAUUGAGAACGGCCCAGACUCCUACGGGGGGCAGCAGUGAGGAAUUUUCGUCAAUGGCCGACAGGCUGAACGAGCAACGCCGCGUGCAGGAAGAAGGUCUUCGGAUCGUAAACUGCUUUUCUGGGGGAAGAGACCGGACGGUACCCCAGGAGAAGCCCCGGCUAACUACGUGCCAGCCGCCGCGGUAA